GGACGAACGCUGGCGGCGUGCUUAACACAUGCAAGUCGAACGGAAAGGCCCUGCUUUUGUGGGGUGCUCGAGUGGCGAACGGGUGAGUAACACGUGAGUAACCUGCCCUUGACUUUGGGAUAACUUCAGGAAACUGGGGCUAAUACCGGAUAGGAGCUCCUGCUGCAUGGUGGGGGUUGGAAAGUUUCGGCGGUUGGGGAUGGACUCGCGGCUUAUCAGCUUGUUGGUGGGGUAGUGGCUUACCAAGGCUUUGACGGGUAGCCGGCCUGAGAGGGUGACCGGCCACAUUGGGACUGAGAUACGGCCCAGACUCCUACGGGAGGCAGCAGUGGGGAAUAUUGCACAAUGGGCGGAAGCCUGAUGCAGCAACGCCGCGUGCGGGAUGACGGCCUUCGGGUUGUAAACCGCUUUCGCCUGCGACGAAGCGUGAGUGGCGGUAAUGGGUAAAGAAGCACCGGCUAACUACGUG
rnacentral:rRNA from 1 species